UAAAUAAAUAUAAUAUAAUACCCACAUUUUACUUUAUUGUGUUUUGAGAGGAGUCGGGGUCUCUAUCAGUGAGGACACGCCGCGGAUGAUGAGGUUUUCGGAUCGUAAAGCUCUGUUGUUAGGGAAGAACAAGUGCAAGAGUAACUGCUUGCACCUUGACGGUACCUAACCAGAAAGCCACGGCUAACUACGUGCCAGCAGCCGCGGUAAUACGUAGGUGGCAAGCGUUGUCCGGAAUUAUUGGGCGUAAAGGGCUCGCAGGCGGUUUCUUAAGUCUGAUGUGAAAGCCCCCGGCUCAACCGGGGAGGGUCAUUGGAAACUGGGAAACUUGAGUGCAGAAGAGGAGAGUGGAAUUCCACGUGUAGCGGUGAAAUGCGUAGAGAUGUGGAGGAACACCAGUGGCGAAGGCGACUCUCUGGUCUGUAACUGACGCUGAGGAGCGAAAGCGUGGGGAGCGAACAGGAUUAGAUACCCUGGUAGUCCACGCCGUAAACGAUGAGUGCUAAGUGUUAGGGGGUUUCCGCCCCUUAGUGCUGCAGCUAACGCAUUAAGCACUCCGCCUGGGGAGUACGGUCGCAAGACUGAAACUCAAAGGAAUUGACGGGGGCCCGCACAAGCGGUGGAGCAUGUGGUUUAAUUCGAAGCAACGCGAAGAACCUUACCAGGUCUUGACAUCCUCUGACAACCCUAGAGAUAGGGCUUUCCCUUCGGGGACAGAGUGACAGGUGGUGCAUGGUUGUCGUCAGCUCGUGUCGUGAGAUGUUGGGUUAAGUCCCGCAACGAGCGCAACCCUUGAUCUUAGUUGCCAGCAUUCAGUUGGGCACUCUAAGGUGACUGCCGGUGACAAACCGGAGGAAGGUGGGGAUGACGUCAAAUCAUCAUGCCCCUUAUGACCUGGGCUACACACGUGCUACAAUGGACAGAACAAAGGGCUGCGAGACCGCAAGGUUUAGCCAAUCCCACAAAUCUGUUCUCAGUUCGGAUCGCAGUCUGCAACUCGACUGCGUGAAGCUGGAAUCGCUAGUAAUCGCGGAUCAGCAUGCCGCGGUGAAUACGUUCCCGGGCCUUGUACACACCGCCCGUCACACCACGAGAGUUUGCAACACCCGAAGUCGGUGAGGUAACCUUUAUGGAGCCAGCCGCCGAAGGUGGGGCAGAUGAUUGGGGUGAAGUCGUAACAGGGUAGCAGUUAGGAGUAGAGUCGU
rnacentral:rRNA from 1 species